rnacentral:miRNA from 1 species
CACCCAUCCUAGGACUACUCC